CGCAGGGUUCGCCGUCGGGCCGCACGGCCGAGCCGUUGCAGAUGGCGCAGGACAUGUCGAGUUCGAAGCCCGGUUCGACGA
rnacentral:tRNA from 1 species